GAUGAACGCUGGCGGCGCGCCUAACACAUGCAAGUCGAACGAUUAAAGCACCUUCGGGUGGGUAUAAAGUGGCGAACGGCUGAGUAACACAUGGGCAACCUGCGCCUUUCAUUGUGGUAUCCACUGGAAACCGUGGAGAAUACCGAAUACUUCGACACUUCCGCAUGGAAGACUCGAGGAAACUCCGGCGGGUGGGGAUGGGCCCGCGGCCUGUUCGCUUGUUGGUGGGGUAACGGCCUACCAAGGCAUUGACGGGUAGCCGGCCUGAGAGGGCGACCGGCCACAUUGGGACUGAGAUACGGCCCGGACUCCUACGGGAGGCAGCAGUGGGGAAUAUUGCACAAUGGGCGGAAGCCUGAUGCAGCAACGCCGCGUGCGGGAUGACGGCCUUCGGGUUGUAAACCGCUUUCGCCUGUGACGAAGCGUGAGUGACGGUAAUGGGUAAAGAAGCACCGGCUAACUACGUG
rnacentral:rRNA from 1 species